rnacentral:lncRNA from 1 species
ACCUGCCUCAGGCAAAUUUUUCUAAUUUUCCUGAAAACAAGCAUUUUUACCCUUUGGCCCAAAGCCAUUGCCUUUGCCAUUGGACUUGGCCCCUGCCCCACCCCCUCUCCUGAGCCACCCUUCUGUGUUUGAGAAGCUGCCCCUGGCAGAAAAGAGAAUGACCUCCUGCGUUUUAGUCAGACACUUCAUACGGGCUGGUGAAGGUUUUUUGAGGUUGCUCACGCUCCCAGCCAAGGAGUCUGUGGAAAUCCUUCAAAAAGUACAAGGCAGCCUUAUGAAUGGGGAGUGAGGAGCUUAAUGACAGACGCAAGGACCCUCAACUACAUCUGAAGGAGGAGAAAGAAUUAUGAUGACCGAAUCCUGUAGAAUUCUGCUGAGGUUUACUUUUACUUUAUGCGAGGGCUAAUUAAGCUGGAUUUAUAAAUAGGUUAUUUAUUUUUGUCUUGUAAAUAGAAUUAUAGAUUGAAUAGAGCCUCUACCUCGGCCAAGGGUCUUCAAACUCUUUUUUAAAGCAGGGGAACCUUCUGUUGAAUGGAGCUGUGUGCAGAACCACAGCAUAAAAAUGGAAGCAAAAGUUCUCUGGUCAGGUUGGAAAGGAAGGCCUGGGGUCCUGCUCAGGCCUGGAGGGCACCCAUUUCCAGCGGCCAUCUGUCCCCCUGCCCCAGUCCCUGAUGUGUUCUGUGGAACCUCAGGGUUCCAAGGGACAGAGUCUGAAAGACAUUGCUCUAAAUGAAUCUGUGCUGCAUGGAAUGUAUUUUCCAGUCGCUGCCUCCAGGAUUACUGAACAUGGAGGGGGCGCUGUGGUCUCAAAUCCCAGGUGCAUUAGCAUUUCCGUUUUCAUGUAGGUUGACACAGUGUUCCCUUGUACUAGAAAAUGCCAGUGGGUGUUAGCAAAGGCCCUUUACACGCAGAACAAUGAGCCCAGAGCGAGGCGCAAGCUUCAAAGCCGUCUCUUCACUGGAAAGGGUGACGCGGCGCAAGAUUUACCCCUGAACCUCUCUGGGAGUGUGAGCUUCAUGGGCCUCAGUAGGAGGAGACGGUGGAGAAGAAAAAGACUUUACCAGGCUGUCUGCAGACACCCUUGUCCUAGAGGCCCUGGAGUGGGACAGCUGGGUGGCUCCUCGGAAGACUCCACAACCCCUUGGUACUCAAUGAUUAAGUGAUGAAAGAAAGUGCUUUUAAUUGUGUUCGUUGGUAUGAGGGGAAAAACCCAAAACCUUGGGUAAUCUACUGUCAGAAAACUGAGAAUCAUCAGUAUCAAGAAGGUUCUUCUCCUGAAAGGAGCCCCUUGACACAUUUGCAAAAUAAACGGUUUUCAUUGGUCAGACGAAAACAGUUUCCAAGGAUUGGGAACUUGUGGUCUCCGAUGGCAGCUUCCCCUGCUCCCUCUGCUUCCCUGUCUCCUUUCUGGCGUAAUUGCUCACCUGGCAAACCAGCACCAAGCUGGGACCCCAACCCUGCACACAGCCCAACUCCUCAGUGGCAAGGCCAGCAGCCUUGGACAUCUGGGCCUCUGUUCUCAUACAAAGCUUCAGCACCAUGUUUGAUUUCCCUGAGAAGGUUGGCAAUUGUGGCCAAUUCCCAAAGCACUGGUAUUCUUUCUGGUUCCUCUUGACCAACCGUGAGUAACCCCAUCACCCUCCCACCCCAGGACAUUCAGUUGGUGACCAUCUAUAGAGACAUCUGACACUGAGAUCAAUGAUAUCCACCAUAGCACUUAGCACGGGGCCAGGCACAGGGCAGGAGCUCCACAAAGCUCAGUGUGGCUGGUGGCAGCUGGGACAGGGAAGGGUGUGGGGAGACUUCUGUUGCUGGGAGAAGCUCUUUUCUUGAAGGGAGGCCUUUGCCCUUUCAGAGGGAGAACAAACAGAGAGGCAUUAAGUCUGCAAGCACAGCCCUCGCAAAGCCUGACCUGCAGGCCUCCUCCCGAGAGACACAUGAUUUACCUAGGCUGAAGUCAACAGAGGGACAUCUGAGCUCCAACUAUCCUUUCCCAUUUCACACCAGGGUGACAUUAAAUGGUUCCAUUUUCAGUGGAUGGGGGAAGGGAAGAGGGGAAAAUGGAGCUAAAGUUUCAUUUUUAAUGAACAUCAAUAAAAUAUUCUUCCCUAGGUACACUGUCCCCCUGCCCCAAACCUAUGCAAAAGAAAUAGUCUACUUCUUCCAGUGACUUUGGGCUUGUUUGCAUAUAUCUGGGGCUUUGGAUAUAACGUCAAGCGCUUCGUGAUGCCACAGUAAAUUCAGAAACACGUAAGAAGCUAUUGAUUUCGAUCCCCAACAACUCUUGGCUUGUAGACAUUUCACUGAUGAAUGUUACAGCAGCGGAUUUUUUAGUGGCCCUUCAUACAUGGUCAUGUCCCUCUGGGCUGGCCAG